UCUUGAGUUAAAUAAGACUUCAAUUAAUCUAAUUUAUCUGCAACAAAAAAUUUAUGAGUAUGGAGCAUGGGACU